rnacentral:rRNA from 1 species
GACGAACGUUGGCGGCGUGCUUAACACAUGCAAGUCGAACGGAAAGGCCCUGCUUUUGUGGGGUGCUCGAGUGGCGAACGGGUGAGUAACACGUGAGUAACCUGCCCUUGACUUUGGGAUAACUUCAGGAAACUGGGGCUAAUACCGGAUAGGAGCUCCUGCUGCAUGGUGGGGGUUGGAAAGUUUCGGCGGUUGGGGAUGGACUCGCGGCUUAUCAGCUUGUUGGUGGGGUAGUGGCUUACCAAGGCUUUGACGGGUAGCCGGCCUGAGAGGGUGACCGGCCACAUUGGGACUGAGAUACGGCCCAGACUCCUACGGGAGGCAGCAGUGGGGGAUAUUGCACAAUGGGCGGAAGCCUGAUGCAGCAACGCCGCGUGCGGGAUGGCGGCCUUCGGGUUGUAAACCGCUUUCGCCUGUGACGAAGCGUGAGUGACGGUAAUGGGUAAAGAAGCACCGGCUAACUACGUGCCAGCAGCCGCGGUGAUACGUAGGGUGCGAGCGUUGUCCGGAUUUAUUGGGCGUAAAGGGCUCGUAGGUGGUUGAUCGCGUCGGAAGUGUAAUCUUGGGGCUUAACCCUGAGCGUGCUUUCGAUACGGGUUGACUUGAGGAAGGUAGGGGAGAAUGGAAUUCCUGGUGGAGCGGUGGAAUGCGCAGAUAUCAGGAGGAACACCAGUGGCGAAGGCGGUUCUCUGGGCCUUUCCUGACGCUGAGGAGCGAAAGCGUGGGGAGCGAACAGGCUUAGAUACCCUGGUAGUCCACGCUGUAAACGGUGGGUACUAGGUGUGGGGUCCAUUCCACGGGUUCCGUGCCGUAGCUAACGCUUUAAGUACCCCGCCUGGGGAGUACGGCCGCAAGGCUAAAACUCAAAGGAAUUGACGGGGCCCCGCACAAGCGGCGGAGCAUGCGGAUUAAUUCGAUGCAACGCGUAGAACCUUACCUGGGUUUGACAUGGAUCGGGAGUGCUCAGAGAUGGGUGUGCCUCUUUUGGGGUCGGUUCACAGGUGGUGCAUGCCUGUCGUCAGCUCGUGUCGUGAGAUGUUGGGUUAAGUCCCGCAACGAGCGCAACCCUUGUUCACUGUUGCCAGCACGUUAUGGUGGGGACUCAGUGGAGACCGCCGGGGUCAACUCGGUGGAAGGUGGGGGUGACGUCAAGUCCUCAUGCCCCUUAUGUCCAGGGCUUCACGCAUGCUACAAUGGCUGGUACAGAGAGUGGCGAGCCUGUGAGGGUGAGCGAAUCUCGGAAAGCCGGUCUCAGUUCGGAUUGGGGUCUGCAACUCGACCUCAUGAAGUCGGAGUCGCUAGUAAUCGCAGAUCAGCAACGCUGCGGUGAAUACGUUCCCGGGGCU